rnacentral:rRNA from 1 species
AGAGUUUGAUCCUGGCUCAGGAUGAACGCUGGCGGCGUGCCUAACACAUGCAAGUCGAACGAAGAGGCCCCUUCGGGGGUACUUCAGUGGCGGACGGGUGAGUAACACGUAGGCGACCUGCCCCGAAGCAGGGAAUAACGGCUCGAAAGGGCCGCUAAUACCCAAAAGGGUCGCGUAUCAAAGCGCGAUCAGAGUUACGGCGUUUCGGGAGGGGCCUGCGGCCCAUCAGCUAGUUGGUAGGGUAACGGCCUACCAAGGCGACGACGGGUAGGGGGCCUAAGAGGGCGACCCCCCACAUUGGCACUGACACACGGGCCAAACUCCUACGGGAGGCAGCAGUGAGGAAUAUUGCACAAUGAGCGAAAGCUAGAUGCAGCAACGCCGCGUGGACGAUGAAGGCCUUCGGGUCGUAAAGUCCUUUUCAGGGGGACGAGUGAGGACGGUACCCCUGGAAUAAGUCACGGCUAACUACGUGCCAGCAGCCGCGGUAAAACGUAGGUGGCGAGCGUUAUCCGGAUUCACUGGGCGUAAAGCGCCUGCAGGCGGUCUCGUAAGUGGGAUGUGAAAUCUCCUGGCUUAACUGGGAGAGGUCAUUCCAUACUGCGGGACUGGAGGGCAGAAGAGGGGAGUGGAAUUCCCGGUGUAGUGGUGAAAUGCGUAGAUAUCGGGAGGAACACCAGUGGCGAAGGCGACUCCCUGGUCUGCUCCUGACGCUAAGAGGCGAAAGCUAGGGGAGCGAACGGGAUUAGAAACCCCGGUAGUCCUAGCCAUAAACGAUGGAUACUAGGUGUUGGUGGUCCUAACCCCAUCAGUGCCGAAGCUAACGCGUUAAGUAUCCCGCCUGGGGACUACGGCCGCAAGGUUAAAACUUAAAGGAAUUGACGG